UCUGGAAAAGUUUGAAAUGUUGAUGAGGUUUACGUCUUCUCUGUGAUGGAUUCCCAAAUUUGCUCGGCCCUCUCAACUCAUCACAACUCCGCCUUCGUUCACAACCCCAUUACAAAAUUCUCUUCUUCCACCAAACCUCCAUUUUCACCCCGAAACUUCAAGACAGAGACACUGCAAGUAUCCCUUUGUCUGUGCAAGAGGGAGAUUAACUUAUCGCUUGUUGCACUUCUCUUAAAUGGGUUUUAUGCAAAAGUUUCCAAAGCCGAGGAAAUGGAGCUCGAAAGAUACACAGAUUCCACAGAGGGAUUCACAUUCCUCAGACCCUCUUCUUGGAUUAAGGUGGAUAAAGCAGGGGCCACAGUUCUAUUUCAGGAGGCAAACAAGGGAAGUAACAAUGUUGGAGUUGUGGUGAACCCAGUUCGUCUCUCCAGUCUUGGAGAAUUUGGGACUCCUCAGUUUGUUGCUGAGAAGCUUAUUCAGGCCGAAAAGCGCAAGGAAAGCACAAUAGAAGCUGAGCUGAUUGAAGUGGCUGAGAGAUCAAGCCAGAAAGGUCUUCAAGUUUACGAAUUUGAGUACAAAGUAGACAGCAGUAGGGGUGGAUUGAAAAGAAUUUUUUCAGCUGCAUUUGUGGCCUCUAGGAAGCUUUACCUUCUGAAUAUCAAUUAUUCAAACAAGCAAGAGAGUCCUCUUGACAAUUAUACAAGAAUGAAGCUAGAAGAAGUUCUUCAUUCCUUUGAUGCAGCACCUAUAGCUUGAUGUUGAAGCACAAUUUUUUUUACAUGGUCUCUUGAUACUAUGUAUUUCUACUUGAUUAUUCAUAACCUGAGGUGGCAAUGAGGCUUCAGUGGCUGAAACUCAUGCUUAACAUUUCCCUGUGAGGUAAUAUGAUUGGCUUGAAGAUCUUUAGUAAACAUGAAUUGAUGACAUUCUUUGUGUUAAUAUGAAUAGAGUAGAAUGGCGUGAAAAAGAGAAAUUGUAACAGAUGGAUAUUGUUUAUUACCUUAAAUAAUUUUUACAAAGUUAAUACCAUAUUUAUGCUGAAUGGUA